UACGAAGGGGGCUAGCGUUACUCGGAUUGACUGGGCGUAAAGGGCGCGUAGGCGGUUCGUACAGUCAGACGUGAAAUUCCUGGGCUCAACCUGGGGGCUGCGUUUGAUGCGUGCGGGCUUGAGUUCGGAAGAGGGUCGUGGAAUUCCUAGUGUAGAGGUGAAAUUCGUAGAUAUUGGGAAGAACACCGGUGGCGAAGGCGGCGACCUGGUCCGAUACUGACGCUGAGGCGCGAAAGCGUGGGGAGCAAACAGG
rnacentral:rRNA from 1 species